CUGGUUGAUCCUGCCGGACCCGACUGCUAUCGGAGUGAGACUAAGCCAUGCGAGUCGUGCGCUCCGGGCUGGCGGAGCGCGGCGUACGGCUCAGUAACACGUGGUCAACCUACCCUGCGGACGGCUAUAACCCCGGGAAACUGGGGCUAAUAGCCGAUAGGGGAUAGGUGCUGGAAGGCCUUGUCCUCGAAAGGCCUAACCACCCAUGCCGUGGUUAGGCGCCGCAGGAUGGGACUGCGCCCUAUCAGGUAGACGGUGGGGUAACGGCCCACCGUGCCUGUAACGGGUGCGGGCCCUGGGAGGGGGAGCCCGGAGAUGGGCACUGAGACAAGGGCCCAGGCCCUACGGGGUGCAGCAGGCGCGAAAACUCCGCUAUGCGCGAAAGCGCGACGGGGUCACUCCGAGUGCCGCCCGCUGAGGGCGGCUUUUGCCCAGUCCAAAAGGCUGGGUGAAUAAGGGGAGGGCAAGUUUGGUGUCAGCCGCCGCGGUAAUACCGACUCCCCGAGUGGUCGGGACGAUUAUUGGGCUUAAAGCGUCCGUAGCCGGCCCGGUGUGUCUCUGGUCAAAUCCGGCGUCUCAAGCGCCGGACCGCCGGAGAUACUACUGGGCUAGGGAGCGGGAGAGGCGGGCGGUAUUCCCUGGGUAGGGGUAAAAUCCUAAGAUCCAGGGAGGACCAUCGGUGGCGAAGGCGGCCCGCUAGAACGCGUCCGACGGUGAGGGACGAAAGCUGGGGGAGCGAUCCGGAUUAGAUACCCGGGUAGUCCCAGCCGUAAACGAUGCAGGCUAGGUGUGUGGACGCCUUAGGGGCGUCCAUGUGCCGAAGGGAAACCGUUAAGCCUGCCGCCUGGGGAGUACGGCCGCAAGGCUGAAACCCUAGGAGGCCCUUAACUGAUAUAAUGAGGAAGGUUUCUCCUAGGGCAGCACACUUAAAGGAAUUGGCGGGGGAGCACCACAAGGGGUGGAGCCUGCGGUUCAAUUGGAGUCAACGCCGG
rnacentral:rRNA from 1 species